rnacentral:tRNA from 1 species
GGCCUGGUGGCAGAGUGGUUAUGCAGAGGACUGCAAAUCCUUGUAUGCCGGUUCGAUUCCGACCCAGGCC